rnacentral:siRNA from 1 species
UGUUUGGAAAAGUGACUACUUUGC